GAAAAGGACCCCGGGAGGGGAGUGAAAGAGAACCUGAAACCCUAUGUUUACAAGCAGAUAGAGCGAUUUAAGGCGCGAUAUCGUACUUUUUGUAGAACGGUCCAGCGAGUUAUUGUAUAUGGCGAGGUUAAGUUCUGAAUAAGGAAUGGAGCCGAAGAGAAAUCGAGUCUGAAUAGGGCGAUAUAAGUCAUAUAUAAUAGACCCGAAACCGGGUGACCUAUCCAUGGUCAGGAUGAAGCUGAAGUAAAAUUCAGUGGAGGUCCGAACUGAUUGUCGUUAAAAAGGCACCGGAUGAACUGUGGAUAGCGGAGAAAUUCCAAUCGAACUCGGAGAUAGCUGGUUCUCCUCGAAAUAGCUUUAGGGCUAGCCUUGAGGUAAAAGAAUUAUGGGGGUAGAGCACUGAAUGAGGUAGGGGCCAAACCAGGUUACUGAACUCUAUCAAACUGCGAAUACCAUAAUUAGAAUACUCAGGAGUCAGACUGCGGGAGCUAAGUUCCGUGGUCAAAAGGGAAAGAGCCCAGACCGACAAUUAAGGUCCCAAAGAUAUAGUUAAGUGGAAAACGAUGUGAAUUUGCAUAAACAACCAGGAUGUUGGCUCAGAAGCAGCCACUCAUUCAAAGAGUGCGUAACAGCUCACUGGUCGAGUGAAUUUGCGCGGAAAAUUACCGGGGCUAAACUAUACACCGAAAUUUCGGAUUUACAUAUGAAAAUAUGUAAGUGGUAGAGGAGCAUUCUGUAGUAGGACGAAGUCAAAGCGAAAGCAUUGGUGGACGAGGCAGAAGAGAGAAUGCUGGAAUAAGUAGCGAGAGCAAGGUGAGAAUCCUUGCCGUCGAAAGUCUAAGGUUUCCUGGGGAAGGUUCGUCCGCCCAGGGUAAGUCGGGGCCUAAGGAGAGGCCGAAAGGCGUAUCUGAUGGAUAGCAGGUGGAGAUUCCUGCACUAUAGCUAGUUUUAAAAGAUGCAAGGGACGCAGUAGAGGAAGAUAACCAAGGAAGAGGAAAGACUUGGUCCGCAAGGGAUAGUGAAAAUUAAUAGUAACGAAAUAUCAAGAAUCACACUGACGAGAAAAGCUUGUAGAUAUUAACUAGAAAUACCCGUACCGCAAACCGACACAGGUAGAUGAGGAGAGGAUCCUAAGACGAGCGGGAGAAGCAUUGUUAAGGAAUUCGGCAAACUAACCCCGUAACUUCGGAAUAAGGGGUGCUGAUGUAACAGUCAGUCGCAGAGAAAAGGCCCAAGCAACUGUUUAACAAAAACAUAGGUUUCUGCUAAAUCGAAAGAUGAAGUAUAGGAGCUGACGCCUGCCCAGUGCUGGAAGGUUAAGGGAAAGAGUUAGGGUUAAACCGAAGCUUAGAACUGAAGCCCCAGUGAACGGCGGCCGUAACUAUAACGGUCCUAAGGUAGCGAAAUUCCUUGUCAGGUAAGUUCUGACCCGCACGAAAGGCGUAAUGAUUUGGGCACUGUCUCGACAAUGUACCCGGCGAAAUUGUAGUACUAGUGAAGAUGCUAGUUACCUGCGACAAGACAGAAAGACCCCAUGGAGCUUUACUGCAGUUUGAUACUGGGUUUCGAUAAGUUAUGUACAGGAUAGGUGGGAGACAAAGAAAGAAAGGCGUCAGCUUUUCCGGAGUCACCGUUGGGAUACCACCCUUAAUUUGUUGAAAUUCUAACUAGUGGUCAUGAUCUGGCCAGAGGACAAUGUCAGACGGGCAGUUUGACUGGGGCGGUCGCCUCCAAAAGAGUAACGGAGGCGCC
rnacentral:rRNA from 1 species